GAUGGCUCUACAGUUAAGAACACUCAUUGAUCUUCCAGAGGACCUGGGUUCAAUUCCCAGCACCCACGUGGCAGCUCACGACUGUCUGUAAACUCAGUUACAGGGGACUUGACAUCCUCACAGAGACAUGCAGGCAAAACAUUAAAUUACAAAACAAAACCCACCAGAGAAUGUUCUGGGGGUUGUGAGGUCUAGUGGUUCUCUAUCCCAAAGAUUGUUCUUUACCCAGUUUCACAUGUGCCCAUAACUCUUCGAAUACCUGGGCAGAAUCUUCUGGAGAACACGUCCUGUUUUCUCCCGGCAGAUUGUGUCUUACAUCCCAAGAGUCCAGCCACACUGGACUCCUGGGUCCAUUUCCACUUUGGGAGACCACUAGGCUUUGCUCCUCCCUCUCCAUGUGGUUACCUAGAAACUCCAGUAAUAACCCAAAGUAAUAACUAAUCCACCAAAUUAGUCUCUCAUCUCACCAUCCUUUGCUUCUAAUAUGUACUCACUACUAAUUCAGAGAGGUGAGACCUGGUCCCCGUAACUCCACUUUGACUGAAAAACUUCUGAGUGAUUAAAAAGCCAGCAUAUUAAGCUAAUUAAGAAAAAUGCCAAAGAGAAGAAUGUUUGGUAUUGUGAGAGGUGAGUGGGUAGGGGAGAACCUGGGUCCAGUGGUAGAGUUAACUUUAGACAGAAGCACCCAGCUAUCUCAAGGCAAAGUAACAAGCCAACAUAUGGACACUUAGGGUUAUAGCUGUAUUCUUCUAAGUGUAUAUGAUUGUGUGUAUGCAUCACCAUUUACUCAAGUUUCCCAGGGAGGGUUUCAUCGAGAGACUUAGUUUGAGGAAAGAUACACAUGAGAAUAUAACUAUGAAGAACUGGAUGUACUUGAGAUGAUAAGAGCAGACGGUUGGAGCAGUGUGACCACAGUGGAGCCUCCUGUGAGGACAGAGAUCCAGUUAGCACUGGCUGAGUUUGGACUUUUCUUCUGAAUGCACUGAGAGCCUAUGAGGAGUUCUACGCAAAAAGCAACAUGACGGCUAAGACUAGUGUGGAAACAAGGACCAUACAGUUUUAACUCUUAAAUGCUUUACUGGGUUGGGGUUUUUGUUGUUUGAGACAGAUUAUGUAGACCAAACUGGCCUGAAACUCAAGAUCUGCUGGGAUUAAAGGCAUCUACCAGCACCACAACUAUACUGUGUGUAAACUUUAUGCAUGUUUAAGCCAUAUUUUUAUAUGGUUUAUAUACAUAUAUACACAUGUAUUUGUGUAUCUUAGGGUUUCUAUUGUGAUACAACACCAGAACCAAAGGCAACUUUGGAAGUAAACAGUCCAUUCUGCUUAGAUUUACACAUCACAGUUCAUCGUGGAAGAACUCGGGGCGGGAACUCAAACUGGGCAG
rnacentral:lncRNA from 1 species